AUUUUCUUCUGCUCCAUUAAGGUCACAGAUCCAAGCAGUAUUUCUCCUGAUUUUGUGUCCCACGUUGCCUUCAGUGUGCUGACAGCAGACAAAUCAUUUCCAUAGAGAGGAGGCUUUGCAUGGUCAGCUGAUCCUCCAGUGAACUGAGAAGGUUUAUAGUCCUGUGAGUUCAACACUGCAGGACUCAGAUCUGUCAGUCAACACAGCAGAAAGCACAACCACCAUGACUCUCAUCACCAUCCUCAUGUGGACGCUGGCCUGCUGCUGUUUUACAGGUUGCAGCGGUCAGGUGACUGUGACUCAGCCUGCAGCAGUGACAUUUACUCCAGGAUCCACAGUCACUCUCACCUGCAGAACAAGCCAGGCUGUUUUCAGAUGGGAUGAUGGUAAUGAGGGUAUGCACUGGUACCAACAGAAACCUGGACAGCCUCCAAAGCUCCUAAUAAGAUUAGCGAGCAACCGUCAAUCAGGAACACCAGCUCGGUUCAGUGGCAGUGGAAGCAGGUCUGACUUCAGUUUGACCAUCAGUGGAGUUCAGAGUGAAGAUGCAGCAGUUUAUUACUGUCAGAGUUUCCAUGUAAUAAACAGUGUGUAUGUGUGGACUUUCGGUGGAGGAACCAAACUCGUCGUUGAGUCGGGCGUGGUGCGGCCCACCCUGACCGUCCUCCCCCCCUCCACACGGGAGCUGCAGCAGGGCAGUGCCACAGUGGUGUGUCUGUCCAGCGGGGGCUCCUCAGCCUGGACGCUGGGCUGGAAGGUGGGGGGCGGCAGCAGCUCCUCAGGGGUGUCACACAGCCCGGAGGUCCUGGGGACGGACGGCCGCUACAGCCUGAGCAGCACCCUGAGCCUCAGUGCGGACCAGUGGAGGAAGGCGGGCUCAGUGAGCUGUGAGGCCAGUCUGAGUGGACAGAGCCCUGUCACUCAAAGCCUGGACCCUGGCCGCUGCUCAGAGUAGAGCUUCAGCAACACUUCCUGUCUGGAAAUGAUGCUGCUUCUUUCACAGAGAUCUCCAUCAAGCUGCAGAUCUCCUGUGUUCACAUAUUUCUGCAAGUUUCUCAGCUCUCUGCUCAGCGUGUUAGUGUGCAUGUUGCUUUCUAAUACUCAUCUUCUGCAUGUUCUGCUUUAUGUUCUUUACACUUCAGAUUCGACUGAAUAUUAUCAGAGUCGCUUCAGGAGAAAC